UACGGAGGGGGCUAGCGUUGUUCGGAAUUACUGGGCGUAAAGCGCGCGUAGGCGGCUUUGUAAGUCAGAGGUGAAAUCCCGGGGCUCAACUCCGGAACUGCCUUUGAAACUGCAUCGCUUGAAUCCGGGAGAGGUGAGUGGAAUUCCGAGUGUAGAGGUGAAAUUCGUAGAUAUUCGGAAGAACACCAGUGGCGAAGGCGGCUCACUGGACCGGCAUUGACGCUGAGGUGCGAAAGCGUAGGGAGCAAACAGG
rnacentral:rRNA from 1 species